UGGAUACACUUAGUGGCGGACGGGUGAGUAACGCGUGGGUACCUGCCUCACACUGGGGGAUAACAGUUAGAAAUAGCUGCUAAUACCGCAUAAGUCCGCAUGGAAAAAACUCCGGUGGUGUGAGAUGGACCCGCGUCUGAUUAGCCAGUUGGCGGGGUAACGGCCCACCAAAGCGACGAUCAGUAGCCGGCCUGAGAGGGUGAACGGCCACAUUGGGACUGAGACACGGCCCAAACUCCUACGGGAGGCAGCAGUGGGGAAUAUUGCACAAUGGGGGAAACCCUGAUGCAGCGACGCCGCGUGAGUGAAGAAGUAUUUCGGUAUGUAAAGCUCUAUCAGCAGGGAAGAAGUGACGGUACCUGAAUAAGAAGCCCCGGCUAACUACGUGCCAGCAGCCGCGGUAAUACGUAGGGGGCAAGCGUUAUCCGGAUUUACUGGGUGUAAAGGGAGCGUAGACGGCAAGGCAAGUCUGAAGUGAAAGCCCGGUGCUUAACGCCGGGACUGCUUUGGAAACUGUUUAGCUGGAGUGCCGGAGAGGUAAGCGGAAUUCCUAGUGUAGCGGUGAAAUGCGUAGAUAUUAGGAAGAACACCAGUGGCGAAGGCGGCUUACUGGACGGUAACUGACGUUGAGGCUCGAAAGCGU
rnacentral:rRNA from 1 species